rnacentral:rRNA from 1 species
AUAGGUGUAGGCGAAGCGAAAGCGAGUCUGAAUAGGGCGAUUUAGUUAAUGGGAUUAGACUCGAAACCGAGUGAUCUAGUCAUGAGCAGGUUGAAAGUGAAGUAAAAUUCACCGGAGGACCGAACCCACUAGCGUUGAAAAGCUACGGGAUGACUUGUGAUUAGGGGUGAAAGGCCAACCAAACUCGGAAAUAGCUAGUUCUCCGCGAAAACUAUUUAGGUAGUGCGUCGUGUGAAUCUUGUCGGGGGUAGAGCACUGAAUGGGCUAGGGGGAAGCAAUUCCUACCAAACCUAAUCAAACUCCGAAUACCGAUAAGUCUGCACGGCAGACAGUCCAUGGGUGCUAAGGUCCUUGGACGAGAGGGAAACAGCCCAGAUCAACAGCUAAGGUCCCCAAAUAAUGAUUAAGUGUGAAAGGGAGUGGGAACUCCAAGACAGCCAGGAGGUUGGCUUAGAAGCAGCCAUCCUUUAAAGAAAGCGUAACAGCUCACUGGUCUAAUUAAGAGAUCCUGCACCGAAAAUGUAACGGGGCUCAAAUCAUUUACCGAAGCUUUGACAAUUACUUUGUAAUUGGGUAGCGGAGCGUUCUGUAAGCCUGUAAAGGUGAUGCGUAAGCAUUGCUGGAGGUAUCAGAAGUGCGAAUGCUGACAUGAGUAACGAUAAGAAAUGUGAAAGACAUUUCCGCCGAAAUCCUAAGGUUUCCUGCGUAAAGCUAAUCUGCGCAGGGUUAGUCGGCCCCUAAGGCGAGGGCGAAAGCCGUAGUCGAUGGGAAGCAGGUUAAUAUUCCUGCACCAGCUGGUAGUGACGGAUGAAGUAAAUUGUAAGUUCUUACUGGAUUGAGCUUGCAGUGAAUUUGUCCCUGGAAAUAGCUCCAGCAUUAGACCGUACCAAAACCGACACAGGUAGGAGGGUAGAGAAUACCAAGGCGCUUGAGAGAACUAUGUUGAAGGAACUCGGCAAAUUACACUUGUAACUUCGGGAUAAAAGUGACCUGCUAUUGGGCAACCAGUAGGAGGUGGCACAGAAGAGGGGGUAGCGACUGUUUACUAAAAACAUAGCACUAUGCAAAGUCGAAAGACGACGUAUAUGGUGUGACGCCUGCCCGGUGCCGGAAGGUUAAUAGGAGGGGUGCAAGCCCUGAAUUGAAGCCCCGGUGAACGGCGGCCGUAACUAUAACGGUCCUAAGGUAGCGAAAUUCCUUGUCGGGUAAGUUCCGACCUGCACGAAUGGCGUAACGAUUUCCCCACUGUCUCCAACAUAGACUCAGUGAAAUUGAAUUCUCGGUUAAGAUGCCGAGUAACCGUGGUUAGACGGAAAGACCCCGUGCACCUUUACUGCAGCUUUGUAUUGGUAUUAGGGAACAGAUGUGUAGCAUAGGUGGGAGACUUUGAAGGAGUGGCGCUAGCCAUUCUGGAGUCACUAGUGAAAUACCACUCUUCUGUUCCUUGAUGCCUAACCAUACACCGUUAUCCGGUGUUGGGACCAUGCAUGGUGGGCAGUUUGACUGGGGCGGUCGCCUCCCAAAGAGUAACGGAGGCGCGCGAUGGUAGGCUCAGAACGCUUGGAAACCGUUCGUCGAGUGCAAUGGCAUAAGCCUGCCUGACUGCGAGACCCACAAGUCGAGCAGAGACGAAAGUCGGUCAUAGUGAUCCGGUGGCACUUCGUGGAAGGGCCAUCGCUCAACGGAUAAAAGGUACGCCGGGGAUAAC